CAGUCGCCACGGUAAUACGAAGGGGGCUAGCGUUGUUCGGAUUUACUGGGCGUAAAGCGCACGUAGGCGGAUCGAUCAGUCAGGGGUGAAAUCCCAGAGCUCAACUCUGGAACUGCCUUUGAUACUGUCGAUCUCGAGUGUGGAAGAGGUGAGUGGAAUUCCGAGUGUAGAGGUGAAACUCGUAGAUAUUCGGAGGAACACCAGUGGCGAAGGCGGCUCACUGGUCCAUUACUGACGCUGAGGUGCGAAAGUGUGGGGAGCAAACAGGAUUAGAGACCCGUGUAGUCCCUGUCUCUUAUAC
rnacentral:rRNA from 1 species